AUUGAACGCUGGCGGCAGGCCUAACACAUGCAAGUCGAGCGCGUCGCGGAGGGGUGAGUAAUGUCUGGGAAAGUGCCUGGUGGAGGGGGAUCACUUGGGGAAACGGUAGCUAACACCGCAUUACAUCGGGUGUGCCCAGAUGGGAUUAGCUAGUAGGUGGGGUAAAGGCUCACCUAGGCGACGAUCCCUAGCUGGUCUGAGAGGAUGACCAGCCACACUGGAACUGAGACACGGUCCAGACUCCUACGGGAGGCAGCAGUGGGGAAUAUUGCACAAUGGGCGCAAGCCUGAUGCAGCCAUGCCGCGUGUGUGAAGAAGGCCUUCGGGUUGUAAAGUACUUUCAGCGGGGAGGCGUUACCCGCAGAAGAAGCACCGGCUAACUCCGUGCCAGCAGCCGCGGUAAUAC
rnacentral:rRNA from 1 species